rnacentral:rRNA from 1 species
AGUGAACGCUGGCGGUAGGCCUAACACAUGCAAGUCGAACGGCAGCACAGUAAGAGUUUGCUCUUACGGGUGGCGAGUGGCGGACGGGUGAGGAAUACAUCGGAAUCUACUUUUUCGUGGGGGAUAACGUAAGGAAACUUACGCUCAUACCGCAUACGACCUACGGGUGAAAGCAGUGGAUCUUCGCACCUUGCGCGAAUGAACUCGCCGAUGUUGGAUUAGCUAGUUGGGGGGGUAAUGGCCCACCAAGGCGACGAUCCGUAGCUGGUGUGAGAGGAUGAUCGGCCGCAUGGGAAGGGGGACACGGACCAUACUACUGCGGGAGGCAGCAGUCGGGAAUAUUGGGCAAUGGGCGCAAGCCUGAUCCAGCCAUACCGCGUGGGUGAAGAAGGCCUUCGGGUUGGAAAGCCCGUUUGUUGGGUGAGAAAAGCAGUCGGUUAUUACGCAGCUGUUCUGACGGUACCCAAUGAAUAAGCACCGGCUAACUUCGUG